GUAUGAUUAUCAAUAAAACAACUGUUCAUCAGUGACCAAAUAACAUGGAUGAAAACGAGUUUGUCUUUUUAAAUAUAUGGGAUGACCAACUCAAGGUCAAAAUUGACUGUCUUAAAAAUCAAUUCAGAGCAGCAACUAAAAUACAUUAUAUGUUUCUUUAUCAGCAUAUCCCAUAUGGGAUCAACAUUUAUCAACUUCUGAUAGCAGUUCCUCUGGAAUUUGAAUAUAUUAUAAUGCUCCAAAUGAGGGUACAAGGAGUAGCACAAAAAUGUGUGCAGCUUUAUGGG
rnacentral:lncRNA from 1 species